AUUAUUUUGGCAGAAUAUUGUAAUAAAUUUAGAAUUUAUAUAAGUAAACAUAUAAUUUUACAAAUAAUA
rnacentral:tRNA from 1 species